UUAAGUUAUUAAGGGCGCACGGUGGAUGCCUUGGCACUAGAAGCCGAUGAAGGACGUUACUAACGACGAUAUGCUUUGGGGAGCUGUAAGUAAGCUUUGAUCCAGAGAUUUCCGAAUGGGGAAACCCAGCAUGAGUUAUGUCAUGUUAUCGAUAUGUGAAUACAUAGCAUAUCAGAAGGCACACCCGGAGAACUGAAACAUCUUAGUACCCGGAGGAAGAGAAAGAAAAUUCGAUUCCCUUAGUAGCGGCGAGCGAAACGGGAAGAGCCCAAACCAACAAGCUUGCUUGUUGGGGUUGUAGGACACUCUAUACGGAGUUACAAAAGACGACAUUAGACGAAUCAUCUGGAAAGAUGAAUCAAAGAAGGUAAUAAUCCUGUAGUCGAAAAUGUUGUCUCUCUUGAGUGGAUCCUGAGUACGACGGAGCACGUGAAAUUCCGUCGGAAUCUGGGAGGACCAUCUCCUAAGGCUAAAUACUCUCUAGUGACCGAUAGUGAACCAGUACCGUGAGGGAAAGGUGAAAAGCACCCCGGAAGGGGAGUGAAAUAGAACCUGAAACCGUGUGCUUACAAGUAGUCAGAGCCCGUUAAUGGGUGAUGGCGUGCCUUUUGUAGAAUGAACCGGCGAGUUACGAUUUGAUGCAAGGUUAAGCAGUAAAUGUGGAGCCGUAGCGAAAGCGAGUCUGAAUAGGGCGUUUAGUAUUUGGUCGUAGACCCGAAACCAGGUGAUCUACCCUUGGUCAGGUUGAAGUUCAGGUAACACUGAAUGGAGGACCGAACCGACUUACGUUGAAAAGUGAGCGGAUGAACUGAGGGUAGCGGAGAAAUUCCAAUCGAACCUGGAGAUAGCUGGUUCUCUCCGAAAUAGCUUUAGGGCUAGCCUCAAGUGAUGAUUAUUGGAGGUAGAGCACUGUUUGGACAGGGGCCCCUCUCGGGUUACCGAAUUCAGACAAACUCCGAAUGCCAAUUAAUUUAACUUGGGAGUCAGAACAUGGGUGAUAAGGUCCGUGUUCGAAAGGGAAACAGCCCAGACCACCAGCUAAGGUCCCAAAAUAUAUGUUAAGUGGAAAAGGAUGUGGCGUUGCCCAGACAACUAGGAUGUUGGCUUAGAAGCAGCCAUCAUUUAAAGAGUGCGUAAUAGCUCACUAGUCGAGUGACACUGCGCCGAAAAUGUACCGGGGCUAAACAUAUUACCGAAGCUGUGGAUUGUCCUUUGGACAAUGGUAGGAGAGCGUUCUAAGGGCGUUGAAGCAUGAUCGUAAGGACAUGUGGAGCGCUUAGAAGUGAGAAUGCCGGUGUGAGUAGCGAAAGACGGGUGAGAAUCCCGUCCACCGAUUGACUAAGGUUUCCAGAGGAAGGCUCGUCCGCUCUGGGUUAGUCGGGUCCUAAGCUGAGGCCGACAGGCGUAGGCGAUGGAUAACAGGUUGAUAUUCCUGUACCACCUAUAAUCGUUUUAAUCGAUGGGGGGACGCAGUAGGAUAGGCGAAGCGUGCGAUUGGAUUGCACGUCUAAGCAGUAAGGCUGAGUAUUAGGCAAAUCCGGUACUCAUUAAGGCUGAGCUGUGAUGGGGAGAAGACAUUGUGUCUUCGAGUCGUUGAUUUCACACUGCCGAGAAAAGCCUCUAGAUAGAAAAUAGGUGCCCGUACCGCAAACCGACACAGGUAGUCAAGAUGAGAAUUCUAAGGUGAGCGAGCGAACUCUCGUUAAGGAACUCGGCAAAAUGACCCCGUAACUUCGGGAGAAGGGGUGCUCUUUAGGGUUAACGCCCAGAAGAGCCGCAGUGAAUAGGCCCAAGCGACUGUUUAUCAAAAACACAGGUCUCUGCUAAACCGUAAGGUGAUGUAUAGGGGCUGACGCCUGCCCGGUGCUGGAAGGUUAAGAGGAGUGGUUAGCUUCUGCGAAGCUACGAAUCGAAGCCCCAGUAAACGGCGGCCGUAACUAUAACGGUCCUAAGGUAGCGAAAUUCCUUGUCGGGUAAGUUCCGACCCGCACGAAAGGCGUAACGAUUUGGGCACUGUCUCAACGAGAGACUCGGUGAAAUCAUAGUACCUGUGAAGAUGCAGGUUACCCGCGACAGGACGGAAAGACCCCGUGGAGCUUUACUGUAGCCUGAUAUUGAAAUUCGGCACAGCUUGUACAGGAUAGGUAGGAGCCUUUGAAACGUGAGCGCUAGCUUACGUGGAGGCGCUGGUGGGAUACUACCCUAGCUGUGUUGGCUUUCUAACCCGCACCACUUAUCGUGGUGGGAGACAGUGUCAGGCGGGCAGUUUGACUGGGGCGGUCGCCUCCUAAAAGGUAACGGAGGCGCUCAAAGGUUCCCUCAGAAUGGUUGGAAAUCAUUCAUAGAGUGUAAAGGCAUAAGGGAGCUUGACUGCGAGACCUACAAGUCGAGCAGGGUCGAAAGACGGACUUAGUGAUCCGGUGGUUCCGCAUGGAAGGGCCAUCGCUCAACGGAUAAAAGCUACCCCGGGGAUAACAGGCUUAUCUCCCCCAAGAGUUCACAUCGACGGGGAGGUUUGGCACCUCGAUGUCGGCUCAUCGCAUCCUGGGGCUGUAGUCGGUCCCAAGGGUUGGGCUGUUCGCCCAUUAAAGCGGUACGCGAGCUGGGUUCAGAACGUCGUGAGACAGUUCGGUCCCUAUCCGUCGUGGGCGUAGGAAAUUUGAGAGGAGCUGUCCUUAGUACGAGAGGACCGGGAUGGACAUACCUCUGGUGUACCAGUUGUCGUGCCAACGGCAUAGCUGGGUAGCUAUGUGUGGACGGGAUAAGUGCUGAAAGCAUCUAAGCAUGAAGCCCCCCUCAAGAUGAGAUUUCCCAACUUCGGUUAUAAGAUCCCUCAAAGAUGAUGAGGUUAAUAGGUUCGAGGUGGAAGCAUGGUGACAUGUGGAGCUGACGAAUACUAAUCGAUCGAAGACUUAAUCAA
rnacentral:rRNA from 1 species